AAUCAAAUUCAGUUGGUCGUAACGACUCUGAAUCCAUUCAGCAUCAGUCAACUAGGGAUUUGAGGGUAUACUUUCUUUUAUUCCUUUUUCUCUUUGAAAAUUUUUUCCUGAUUUUUCCUUUUAUUUUGAUUUUUUUCACCCUCUUCUCUUUUUCUUUACAUUACAUUUGCAAUGCCCCAGUUUGACUGUUUUGCUGAUUCUUAUGAUACAGCUGAAUGAGCUUCUUUUUGUGCUCAAGAAGGCGGGUAAUCUCAUCAGGAAUCCCCUUCAACAUCAUCUUCCUCUGCCUCAAAUGCAAGGAAUUCAAGAUUGGGAGAUGGCGUUGGAUCAUUAUGUUCAAUGGGUUUAGAAAUCCCUGCAUAAUGAUUUUGGUUAAUAAAAACUUCAAAAUUUAAACAAGCA
rnacentral:lncRNA from 1 species